rnacentral:rRNA from 1 species
AUUGAACGCUGGCGGCAUGCUUUACACAUGCAAGUCGAACGGCAGCGCGGGCUUCGGCCUGGCGGCGAGUGGCGAACGGGUGAGUAAUACAUCGGAACGUGCCCAGUAGUGGGGGAUAGCUCGGCGAAAGCCGGAUUAAUACCGCAUACGACCUGAGGGUGAAAGCGGGGGAUCUUCGGACCUCGCGCUAUUGGAGCGGCCGAUGGCAGAUUAGCUAGUUGGUGGGGUAAAGGCCUACCAAGGCGACGAUCUGUAGCUGGUCUGAGAGGACGACCAGCCACACUGGGACUGAGACACGGCCCAGACUCCUACGGGAGGCAGCAGUGGGGAAUUUUGGACAGUGGGCGAAAGCCUGAUCCAGCAAUGCCGCGUGUGUGAUGAAGGCCUUCGGGUUGUAAAGCACUUUUGGCGGGAACGAAAAGGACUGUGCCAAUACCACGGUUCGAUGACGGUACCCGCAAAAUAAGCACCGGCUAACUACGU